AAUGAACGCUGGCGGCGCGCCUAAUACAUGCAAGUCGAGCGAGAAGACGUAGCAAUACGUUUGUAAAGCGGCGAACGGGUGAGGAAUACAUGGGUAACCUACCCUCGAGUGGGGAAUAACUAGCCGAAAGGUUAGCUAAUACCGCGUACGCUCCUUGGACUUUGGUUCAGGGAGGAAAGCGAUACCGUGGGUAUCGCGCUCUUGGUUGGGCUCAUGUCCUAUCAGCUUGUUGGUGAGGAACGGCUCACCAAGGCUUCGACGGGUAGCUGGUCUGAGAGGACGAUCAGCCACACUGGCACUGCGACACGGGCCAGACUCC
rnacentral:rRNA from 1 species